rnacentral:lncRNA from 1 species
GUCACUGAUUGGGAUGGGAUGAUGUGUUCAGCUAAGAAAUCUGAAUUGGGCUGGGAGCCUUUGACGUGUGUGAUCACUACUGUGUCAUCAAAAUCCCAUUAAAUUUGCUGGCACAACUGCCCCUCUUCCCUCUUGCAGUCAGUCCUUCCAAAUUAAUUCCCCACCACAUGCUUUCCUAUCCUAAUCUCUCUCUCUGUACACACACAAGAAGCACACUUUUUUUAAUGGCAUUUAAUAUGUAAAGCCACAAAAGCUUGUGAAUUAUUGAAUGGUCAGGAAAACUUUGCCUUGAUCCUAGAAGCUGCAAAGUGAUAGAAUCAUAGAAUAGCUCAGAAUCAAUAACUUCAGUUGUUGUUGUUGUUUUUGUUAA